rnacentral:rRNA from 1 species
AUCCUGGCUCAGGACGAACGCUGGCGGCGUGCCUAACACAUGCAAGUCGAGCGGGGAAUGAUUGGUAGCUUGCUACUGGUUAUUUCUAGCGGCGGACGGGUGAGUAACGCGUGAGCAACCUGCCUUUAUCAGGGGGGAUAACGCAUCGAAAGAUGUGCUAAUACCGCGUAAGACCACAGCUUCACAUGGAGCAGAGGUCAAAGGAGCAAUCCGGAUAAAGAUGGGCUCGCG